CUUUUUCUUUUUGUUUAAUAAGGAUUUUGAAAAUCUUUUUAGGAAAUAUUUUCCACAAAAAGA
rnacentral:tRNA from 1 species